AUCCUGGGGCUGUAGUCGGUCCCAAGGGUUGGGCUGUUCGCCCAUUAAAGCGGUACGCGAGCUGGGUUCAGAACGUCGUGAGACAGUUCGGUCCCUAUCCGUCGUGGGCGCAGGAAAUUUGAGAGGAGCUGUCCUUAGUACGAGAGGACCGGGAUGGACGCACCGCUGGUGUACCAGUUGUCUUGCCAAAGGCAUCGCUGGGUAGCUAUGUGCGGACGGGAUAAGUGCUGAAAGCAUCUAAGCAUGAAGCCCCCCUCAAGAUGAGAUUUCCCAUAGCGUCAAGCUAGUAAGAUCCCUGAAAGAUGAUCAGGUUGAUAGGUCAGAGGUGGAAGCGCGGUGACGUGUGGAGCUGACUGAUACUAAUCGAUCGAGGACUUAACCUAAUU
rnacentral:rRNA from 2 species